rnacentral:piRNA from 1 species
UGCUAAUGUCACAAAUCAGCCAGCAGCGC